rnacentral:rRNA from 1 species
AACGCGAAGAACCUUACCUGGGCUCGAAAUGUAGUGGACUGGGGUAGAAAUAUCCCUUUCUCGCAAGAGACUGCUAUAUAGGUGCUGCAUGGCUGUCGUCAGCUCGUGUCGUGAGAUGUUGGGUUAAGUCCCGCAACGAGCGCAACCCUUAUCCCUAGUUGCCAUCGGGUCAAGCCGGGCACUCUAGUGAAACCGCCCCGGAUAACGGGGAGGAAGGUGGGGAUGACGUCAAGUCCUCAUGGCCUUUAUGUCCAGGGCUACACACGUGCUACAAUGGUCGGUACAAACCGUCGCAAACCCGCGAGGGGGAGCUAAUCGGAAAAAGCCGACCUCAGUUCGGAUUGGAGUCUGCAACUCGACUCCAUGAAGCUGGAAUCGCUAGUAAUCGCGGAUCAGAACGCCGCGGUGAAUACGUUCCCGGGCCUUGUA